rnacentral:lncRNA from 1 species
UGAAAAUCAAACAAAAUAAUUUUAAAAUCUCCAAGCCCCGAAAGUCAUCGUACAAAAGCUUCUAAAUAAAGAUCAUUUCUAAAAGAGAUAUUCAAAAAUAAAGAAAAUAAACAAUGUUUCAUUGUCCGAAAGAUGGACAAAAAUAAAUAUGAUGGUCCAAGACAGCCUGGAGACGGAGUGCUCACUCUUGGAUCGAAAUCUGUUAUCAAACACUAGAGGUGAGGUCUUGUCUGGGCCUCUGUGACACUUUCUGCACUCAACAAAAGAAGAGUACAUGAUAGUAUCAGUAUAAACCACUAUAUAUUGGUAGGUAUCAUAGGCUAACUCAAUUUAAUAGCAUGUACACAAUAUAAAUUAAAUAAUAAGUAGACAAGCAUCGGCACAUAACAAAUAUUCAAUGAAUCAAUAAUACAGCAACAACAGGUCAAAUAGUGCUUACGAACAAGCUACAUAAACAUCAAGAGCAUCAACCAUAUUGUAAACAACCACAGAAUCAACAAUAAUGCCAUAAAUAAUAACCAUAUCCUUCUAAAACUUGCAAUUAGAACACCAUUAGCUCGUUAUCUGCUUAAUAACCCUUACAACCUCUUAAAUUCAACACAAAUAUGUACACACAUGCUAUGAGACUUAUUUUUGCCCAACUUGUCAUGAACGUGCAGGGAACAAUCAAUGUUCAUGUACCGUAUCGGUGCGAUAGCCGAUCCUCAAUAACAAGUAAUAUCAAUAUCACAUUCGUACUGGCGUGGUACCCGAUCUUCCAUAAACAAGUAACAUCAAUGUCAUAUUCGUACCGACGUGGUACCCGAUCCUCCACAAUCAAGUAACAUCAAUAUACAUAUCUGUACUGACGAGGUACCCGAUCGUCCAUAAAUAAGUAAUAUCAAUUACAUAUCCAUAUCGGCAUGGUAUUCGAUCCUCCACAAUCAAGUAACAUCAAUAUACAUAUCCGUACCGAUGUGGUACCCGAUCUUCCAUAAACAAGUAACAUCAAUGUACAUAUCCUUACCGGAGUGGUACUCAAUAGUCUAUAAACAAGUAAUAUCAACAUCAUAUUUGUAUUGGCAUAGUACCCGAUCCUCCAUAAACAAGUAACAUCAAUAUCAUAUUUGUACCGGCGUGGUACCUGAUCCUUCAUAAACAAGUAACGUCAAUAUCAUAUCAGUACCGGCGUGCUACCCGAUCCUCCAUAAUCAUAUCAGGUAUGUUUUAUCAAAUUCACACUACAUCUCCAGAUACAAUACAAGUACACUUAAAGUCAUAGAUAAUUUCAUCAAGGAAAUUUUCAAUAAUUAUUUAUACACAUCUCAACAAUCCAAAUAUCAUCAAAUUCAAGAACGUCCGAAUACCAAUCAACAAGCAUCUAAUUUAGGAACAUACACACAAUUUAAUUGAGUCUAAACUCCAAUUAAACCUUAAUCUACCUCAACCGAAGAAUUCAAAUGCAAUCUAAUUUGCAAGGGUUUUACCCUUCCGUAAAGCUUCUGAAUGAUCAAAAUCUGUGCAAAUAUAUAAUCUACAUAAGACUAUGAACUAGUACGUUAAAUUUCAACUAAAAUGGGUCAUCAUUCGAUCUCCAAUUUUAAUAAAAUUUUACACUAAGGACUCCAGACUUAAGCCUCAAUUCUAUAAAUUUUGAAAUCUAAGAUAAUACACGAACAAUAUUAAACUGCAAAAUUGUUAAUAAAGUUGAAACGCAUUAGCCAUAAAUCAAUUCUAUCACUAAUUCUCAAUUGUCGUCGUUGUCUUAGUAAAUUAACUGUAGCCAAAAUCAUCACUUCAUCCAUGUUGCGUUAAUCCAGUAGUGAAAUUUAUACUAACUCCUAACAAUUUUUCACUAAUCCUAGCAGACUACCACUACUAAAUACAUUAUAAUUAUAUAAUCUUUCUAAUCAUUCCAAUUCAAAUCUAAUCUUACUGAUUACUAUAUUAUUAUAUAAUAUUACUAAGUAACUCAAUUAAAUACCGAUAUCAUGAAAAACUUUACCAAUUCAAUCCUAUUUUGAUCACAACAAAAAGAACUAACAAACACAAUUGGGUCAUUGCCCCUCACGUUACUGCCACUGUGUUUUAUUAUGGUGCUUAAACUACUGAUCCAUAGAAUUCUAACCCAUAGCCUAUAGAUGAUUAAGACAUUGUAAGCGUAAAGUCAAAACCUCGAAAUCAAACUUAACAACUAACCUCAAGCUAGUUCGAGGGAGAUCUCCUUCAAGUCUCCUUGGUAUAAAUGGUAUUGUGUUAACUCUCU